GCAUGACGGGAGAUGAAGUCCCGGCUGGAAUAGCGCUCUAUGGGCGCCGCGGAGCAUGAUGGGAGCUGUAGUCCCGGAAGUGGCUCGGAAGGCGGGUUUGGCGGUGCGGGAAGGCACUUGGGAAACACUUUUGCAUCCGAGCUGUGGCUGCAGGAAGAGGAGGGACAAAAGAGGAUCAGGGAAAGGAGAAGGAACCAAGAGGUCAAGAACUCCCGGAAUUCACAGUCCCCCACUAGUGGGAUCAUCACCCCCAUCCCACAGGAUUUCCCAUUCCCAAACCUUAACUGGAUGGAGG